rnacentral:rRNA from 1 species
UACAGAGGUCUCAAGCGUUGUUCGGAUUCAUUGGGCGUAAAGGGUGUGUAGGUGGCGCCGUAAGUCGGGUGUGAAAUUUCGGAGCUUAACUCCGAAACUGCAUUCGAUACUGCGGUGCUUGAGGACUGGAGGAGGAGACUGGAAUUCCCGGGUGUAGCGGUGAAAUGCGCAGAUAUCGGGAGGAACACCGGUGGCGAAGGCGGUUCUCUGGGCCUUACCUGACGCUGAGGAGCGAAAGCGUGGGGAGCGAACAGG